CUGUGACAACCAACAAUAGGAAAAGAGUUAGAGGCUUAACAAGAAAGAGUAAAUAGGACCAGAAAAACUGGACAUCUAUGCUGACUCACAAAGGCUUGCCAGGAAAGGAGCCAGGCAGAGAAGGUUGUGGCCCAUUUAUGGUCUUGAAAUCAACUGAAUGUGUUAUGACCAGCGAGACAAAACGAAACAGAAUGGAACAGGGGGAAAUGUAGCAGCAUGUCAUAUUAGGUGACUGGAGUCAGGGAGAGAGCCUGUGCCUGUGCGAGGAAUGGUACAUAACCUCCGUGCUCCUUGGAAAAUCAGCAGCAGCAUUUUCAUAUCUGAAGAAUCUCUAUGCCAACUAUGUCAACCUUUUCAGAUGUGCAAAUUGCACCUAGUAGGUACAAGGGCUAGCAGAUGGCUCUAAUUUCAGAGUGCCCUUGACUACUAAAAAGAAGGCACUGAUGAGAAUUUGUCUCAGGCCAGUAUUUGGUUCUGCUACAUAUAGAAGGGAUUAGCCCUUCACUCGGAGGAUCACCAGCACAUACUCUCUGUGUGGCCCAGUCCAACUUCUGUCCUGUGGGCUGC